rnacentral:lncRNA from 1 species
AUGAGCCACAGGGCUCAAAAUGAGUGGACCGAGGUCCGAUACGGGAAGAGGGGGCGCCGUCCUCCCAUGACCUCGGGUGAACUACAGUGGGGGUACAGGAGGGGAACAGGAGCCCGGGGGAUGGACUGUGCAGCUCCGGGGCCCUGGAAAAAACAGGGACCCCGUUCUCACCCUCCUCCUAACCGGCCUGUGCCUCCCUUGGGUCUCACUGCAACCUUCCGGCCCCAAGUACAGAUUGCAUUUCCAGGACCCCAAAAAAGGACAUAUGCAGAGGUUGUUCGCAACAAUGACCGCGGGCAGGUUCGUAGGCCUGGCUAUGGUGGUCAGAACUCGGGGGGCAGAUACUGGCAGCAACAGUUCUACAGAGCUGCUGGAGCUCCACAGGGUCCACCUACAGACCCUAAAUUUGCUAAGUUGGUGAGAGUGCUCUACAAAGUGAUAAAGAUGCUGCACCACUUACAGAAUGUUACCCCAGAACCGGACGAGCCAGGUCCUAGGAUGAUUGCUCGCAUGGUGGACAUCCUGGGAUCCAUGAUUAAACCGGCGGUUCCAAGCCACAAGACUCUGGACAUGAUCAUGGGAAAUGCUAAAAACUGGGGUUACAAUACUUUGAUCAUUUUGCAGGAUCAUUAUAGAGAGGGACUGGAGGAGAUACUCACGGUUUUACCCCAGGAGUUGGAUACCAACUGGAGGGCUGCCUUUGAGGUGGCCAAACGUUGGGCUAGGCGUAAUCUCACACGGAUUUCGCAGGAGGUCUUAGAACAGGCAGAGGCCGUAAUUGUGUCGUGUGAGGACGAUGGAGGGAAACAACAAACAGAAGGCAUUAUGAGAGACGGAGUACAGGAAGAGGAGGUGCCCGUGUCCAAAAGACGUCGUGGGGCAAGAUUCCCAGAACCCCAGGAGGAGUUUGUGGAGGAGAUGGUGGAAAUCUCCACACAUUCCGGGACUUCACCUGUUGUACAGGAGGUUCCUCUGGAACAGAGGAAGCGUACAACAGUGGUUGCAAAACAGCGAAUGCAAAGCCAUAUACAUCAGGCGAGGGGUUUGGGGGAACAACGGGAUCCAAACCAGCAUCACAUGAGGACUCCGGGUCGG